AGCGUCUUGCUAACUCUGUCCAACGGAUUUUAUGUUCGUCAUUUGCAUGUAUCAGGUGGGUCACGUUUUGCACUUGUGUGUUUUGUGCACGUGUUAGCUCUUUCUUCGAAUGUAUGGGACAGAGGAGCUGAGCGUCUUGCUAACUCUGUCCAACGGAUUUUAUGUUCGUCAUUUGCAUGUAUCAGGAAGCAGCAAUAAACGUGUGAACAUCAGGUCGGUGGCUGUGUCCUUCUUAAACAAACACAACGCAGAGUGAAACAGCGAGGGGAAGAUAACCUCCGUUACAUAUAUUUAUUUCAAUCAUCAGUGAUUUAAUCAGAGAUCCGCCAAGGGAACAUGAAUCUAUAGAAACAUUAGCAUUAUACCACCGCCUGUCUUCCAUGUCACAUGAUAAUAGUAAAGCAGGAAACCGUAAUAUAAGGUAAGCCUAUCUGAUGCAGUGUUCUGUCACAGCCAGUGUCAUCGUGGAAUAUGAAAGUAAGAGUGUUCUGUGGAGCAUAUCACUCUGAGCAAUCAGACACUUCUCAACACGGCUGCCAGUUGACGCUAUAUUUCCUACCCUGAUCUGGGCACUCUGGCUCCUCACAAUGAUUUGUCUAGAGAGAUGUCAGAUCGUAGUUGCCCUCGCUCCCUUGCUUCUCUUAACGUUGGGGUCGAUGCACCUGCACAACUGUCCCAAGGAGCCCAUGGUCCCCAUCUAUGUAAUUGUGGGAUCUGCAUUCUUCCUGGUCUUACAGCUAUUUGCACUGUGUGGGCAAGAUACAAGGUGCUUCAAAGCCAGUGCCAGUCUGAUCUUCGCCUUUCUCUUCUGCUGGCUGAUUGCAGGUAGUGUGUUUGUCUACAGAGCAUUUCAACCCAACUAUGAGUCCAGACAAUCUCCGGAAUAUUGUGAGAAGAUUCUCUAUCAGGCUGCAUUCUGGUGUACCAACCUGGCAUGGGUGUGCAUAGUGAUUUUUGGGAUUUGUGGGUUGUGCUUUCUCUUAUGCACUAUAUCCUGUAACAAAAACAGGGAAGGUGACAGUGAAAUGGGAGAGAAUCCUCCCCCUCAAGAUUAGAAUUCACUUCAUCAUAAAGUUUCCCUAGUACACUCAAAAUGUAGUUUUUUAACAUUUCAGAACAGAAACACAAUGGUAAAGCUUUGUCUUAAAACCACAGAUUUAGAGCCGCAGGGCUCCACAGAGCUGCCACUGCACUGUAGCUUUGACAGUGAUGCUGAUCGAGCAGCCCAGCAUGCUUGUGUUGUUUCAACACCAUUAUCAGAACGGGGAGCAGGAAACGUAGUGGAUCACCCAUUUGGACACCACAGUGACUCAGCUCCUCUGACCCAUUAAGGCUACCCCUCACCCUUCUCCCUAAAACAGAAACAACCUCUCCUGUGAGCGCAGCGUGACGUUUUCUUCUCCUUGAACCGGUCUCGUGCAAAUUGUUGAUUGUUCCCUUGUGGCCUUGUACUCCUGCCAAAUCCUCCUACAUGUUCAUGGUAUUGCGGAAUGCUGGCAGUGUAACAUAUCUCCCACAUCCCUGCAGAGACCAUGUUUCCCUGUAUGACUGCAUACAGUAAUAGUGCCCUACUGCUCAGUAGCUACAGGUCAAAUACACUGGGAGUGCCUUAAGCAUCUGCUACUGCAACCACUAGCAAAAGCCUAAAGCUAAGUAAACACCUGUUUUACUGCAGAUAGCAUAUCGUCUUUGUUUUUUUUAAAUGCAUGUACUUUUGGACUUUUUUAAUGGUCUGUGAUCUUUGCAAUACAAUGAUAUUACCAAACCUAAAUCCACAUUUAGUAUUCUUGUAGAGUUCCUGUUCCAUUGUGGAGUAUUGCCUCUAUGAUUGCUGUCAUGUAUCCAGAAAUAACUAACUGUAAUCACGUGCCAAUGAGAACCAGUGGUGUACUUAUAAAUAAAUCUGACUUGGAGCCACAACA